CGCCUAGAUGAUGCCUUUCUUC
rnacentral:miRNA from 1 species